rnacentral:rRNA from 1 species
AACGAACGCUGGCGGCAUGCCUAACACAUGCAAGUCGAACGAGACCUUCGGGUCUAGUGGCGCACGGGUGCGUAACGCGUGGGAACCUGCCUUUAGGUUCGGAAUAACUCAGAGAAAUUUGAGCUAAUACCGGAUAAUGUCUUCGGACCAAAGAUUUAUCGCCUUUAGAUGGGCCCGCGUUGGAUUAGCUAGUUGGUGAGGUAAAGGCUCACCAAGGCGACGAUCCUUAGCUGGUCUGAGAGGAUGAUCAGCCACACUGGGACUGAGACACGGUCCAGACUCCUACGGGAGGCAGCAGUGGGGAAUUUUGGACAAUGGGCGCAAGCCUGAUCCAGCAAUGCCGCGUGCAGGAUGAAGGCCUUAGGGUUGUAAGACUCUUUUACCAGGGAUGAUAAU